rnacentral:rRNA from 1 species
GGUGGAGCGAUUUGUCUGGUUAAUUCCGAUAACGAACGAGACUCUAGCCUGCUAAAUAGUUCGUCGAUGGCACUCUGUCGGCGCUAACUUCUUAGAGGGACAAGUGGCGUUCAGUCACACGAGAUUGAGCAAUAACAGGUCUGUGAUGCCCCUAGAUGUUCGGGGCUGCACGCGCGCUACACUGGAAAGUGCAGCAAGCGUUAUCUUCCUUGGCCGAAAGGUCUGGGUAAUCUUUUGAAAGCUUUUCGUGUUUGGAAUAGAGGAUUGCAAUUAUUUCUCUUGAACGAGGAAUUCCCAGUAAGUAUGAGUCAUUAGCUCAUGCUGAUUACGUCCCUGCCCUUUGUAC